rnacentral:sRNA from 1 species
UCAAAAUCCUACGACAGUUCUGCGGAAGC